rnacentral:ncRNA from 1 species
UUAAUUUUAGCGCCUGGACAGCUAACUUCAAAAACUUACUAAAAAAUCAAUUUAUUUUUUAAAUAAUUAGCAAAAUAGCUGUUGACGAGGAUAGAGUUUAUCGAAAUACUCGGCGGAUACUCUAUGGCACACUAUUGCCAAAGACAUUUACAAAACAUACUAGUAAUAGUAUAACAAAAUAAUG